CAGAUGUUACUGUCGCCGUUUACGGCCCCUUUCUUCACCAUUGUGGAUUAUUAUUGUCAACGUUAUCAAAGCCGGGUCUUGAUCCGAGACGACAGCGUAGGACGGAACCGGUUGUCAGCCGCAUAAAUCACGUCUCAACAGAGACGCAUGUCGCCGCUGAAAAGCUGAACCGCUCUACGGAGACACGGUUGAGCCGGAGCCGGAGUCGGAGUCGGAGUCGGAGCCAGAGCUUCCUCACACGCAGGCAGAUGACCCCAUAGACGCGUGCCGAUGGUUCAGCCUCCGGGGACCAUGAGGCGGCCGUCUGCUGCUGUCACGCUACUGUACAUGGCUCCACAGCGUGGAAGCAAAGCGGGGAUCAUGAUCGACCUCUCCCAACCUAGACGGAAGCUAACGCUAACACCCCUCUGGCAAGACGCUGAGCUGCAUCAGGACCCCAACCAUCAAGCAUCAACCGUAAGCUUCCUCCCAGCUGCAGCUGGUGUCAUUAACAGCACCACGGCCCGUCGCCGCUGGCACAUUCUCUGACCCUACUGUCCUCUAACGCCCCUAAUCUUGCUGUGCUGCUCUUUUGCUACUUUCUUUAUUAUAUUUCUGUAUAUACACCAAUCAGGCAUAGCAUUAAAACCCCUGGAAGAAUGUGCUGGAGGAAGGCCCCACUUUAAAGCAAGCUUCAUAACCUUCCAUGGGUCACGACAUAGACAGGAGUCUAACUUAUGUCUGAUUGCUGUAUAUUCAUGUUAUAUUUAUGUAUGUCCACCCUUCCUUCCUUUGCUGCUCACAAAGAGCUCUACUCCCUGUACAGGAAUCCUUUUUACCCAAGAAGUGCGACUUGAAUCUAAGCCUCGCUGCCUGUGUUUGCCACUUAGUUUCCUCCUAUUUUCUUUUUUUUUUUUCAUUUUGUGAAGGAGCGAUCAAAGCGGCCUUCCACAAGAGUUUCCCACUGUUACCGUCAAC